AAACAGGGAUCCUCCCAUGGUUUGAAGAUGGCUGUUGGGACACCAUCUGGCCUCAUGACAUCAGGCGAGGCAGUAUGGUCCAGUAGAAUGAGAAUCCCUGGGUCUGGUUGAGGCUCAGUCAGAGCUCUGGGAGUGGAUGUACAAAGCAAGCCUCGACCAAUUGGAACAUGCCCUCCUCUGGCCACAGUGAUUGGUUCAGUGCGCUUGGCCAUGUGACACCAGCUGGACCAAUCAGAAGGAGUCUCUGGAUAUUUGCUGGACAUGCGGCUCUCUGUUCCAGCUGUCAUCCAUUGCUGCAUCCUUACCCUGGAUCUCUGGGAUAUCAUGGCUGGAGAGAGACAAACAUACAUGGUGUUGGAUGCUGGAUUUGUCCAUCUGGCUUCCCAGAGCUCAAGGAGCCAGGAGUCAUGGUGGGAAGGACCAUGGGAAAUAAAUGAAUGAUCUCCAAGGCCACUUGUCAUUGCUGGGUAA